rnacentral:pre_miRNA from 1 species
GUCGGAUGGUUUGUUUUAGCCUGAGCUAUGUAUUAAAGCACAUGCAUAGCUACUUGUUAAAACAAACCAAUCGAA